GAACGCUGGCGGCGUGCUUAACACAUGCAAGUCGAACGUGAAAGGUAGCAAUACUGGGAGUAAAGUGGCUGUACGGGUGAGUAACACGUGGGUAAUCUACCUUAGAAUCUGGAAUAACCGGCCGAAAGGCUGGCUAAUACUGGAUAGUUCAAGUGCAUCGUAGAGGUGCGAUUGGGAAAGGGAGCUCGCAAGAGCCUUCGUUCUAAGAUGAGCCCGCGUCUGAUUAGCUAGUUGGUGAGGUAAUGGCUCACCAAGGCUGAGAUCAGUAGCUGGUCUGAGAGGAUGAUCAGCCACACUGGAACUGAAACACGGUCCAGACUCCUAUUUUGAGGCAGCAGUGGGGAAUCUUGCGCAAUGGACAUGAAAGUCUGACGCAGCCACGCCGCGUGAGUGAAGAAAGCCUUCGGGUUGUAAAGCUCUGUCGGAGGGGACAAAAACGUUUAGGGUUAAUAGCCCUAGAUCUUGAUGGUACCCUCAAAGGAAGCACCCGGCUAACUUCGUGCCAGCAGCCGCGGUAAUACGAAGGGUGCAAGCGUUGCCUCGGAAUUAUUGGGCGUAAAGGGUAGGUAGGUGGUUACGUUAUGUCUUGGGGUGAAAUCCCUGGAGCUCAACCUCAGGAAGUGCCUUGGAAACGGCGUAACUAGAGUUACUGGAGAGGUUCGUAGAAUUCCUGGUGUAGCGGUGAAAUGCGCGUAAGAGAUCAGGAGGAAUACCAGAGGCGAAGGCGGCGAACUGGACAGUUAUCUGACACUAAACUACGAAAGCGUGUGGGAGCAAACAGGAUUAGAUACCCUGGUGAGAUGCCACGCUGUAAACGAUGGGUACUCCAGAUGGUGGGAGUUGACCCCUGCCGUCUCGGAGCUAACGCGAUAAGUACCCCGCCUGGGAAUUAUGACCGCAAGACUAAAACUCAAAGGAAUUGACGGGAGCCCGCACAAGCGGUGGAUUAUGUGGUUUAAUUCGAAGCAACGCGCAGAACCUUACCUAGGUUUGACAUCCUUUGACAAUGCCAGAGAUGGUACUUUCGUAGCAAUACGACAAAGAGACAGGUGCUGCAUGGCUGUCGUCAGCUCGUGUGGUGGCAUGUCGGGUUAAGUCCC
rnacentral:rRNA from 1 species